AUUGAACGCUGGCGGCAGGCCUAACACAUGCAAGUCGAACGAGUGGCGGACGGGUGAGUAAUGUCUGGGAAACUGCCCGAUGGAGGGGGAUAACUACUGGAAACGGUAGCUAAUACAGCAUACCAUCGGAUGUGCCCAGAUGGGAUUAGCUUGUAGGUGAGGUAACGGAUCACCUAGGCGACGAUCCCUAGCUGGUCUGAGAGGAUGACCAGGCACACUGGAAAUGAGACACGGGCCAGACGCUUACGGUAGGCAGCGGUGGGUAAUAUUGCACAAUGUGCGAAAGUCUUAUGCAGCUAUGCCGCGUGUAUGAAGAAGGCCGUCGGGUUGUAAAGUAGUUUCAGCGGGGAGGCGUUACCCGCAGAAUAAUCACCGGCUAACUCCGUGCCAGCAGCCGCGGUAAUGC
rnacentral:rRNA from 1 species